rnacentral:lncRNA from 1 species
ACCUGGCUUCCUGCCCUCAGGUCCUCUCCACCCGGAUCCUGGCCAUGAAGGCCUCGCUCUGCAAGCUGUCGCCCUGCACGGUGACCCGCGUGUGCGACUACCACACCAAGCUCUUCCUCAUCGCCAUCAGCUCCACCCUGAAGUCGCUGCUGCGCCCCCACUUUCUCAACACGCCUGACAAGAGCCCCGGCGACCGGCUGACCGAGAUCUGCACCAAGAUCACCGACGUCACAUUGACAAGGUCAUGAUCAACCUCAAGACGGAGGAAUUUGUGCU